AUGGCUGCAAUAUCAGCAGCAAUCUCCGGCUGGUGCUCUUCGUCCUGUCUGUCCCAGUCCCAGCGGGGCCUACCGUCCCCCGCAAGGAGAAGGCACUUCAAGGUCACGGCUAUGGCUCCCAAGAACAAGGUGAACAAGUACGACGAUGGGUGGUCCAAGCAGUGGUUCGGCGCGGGGAUCUUCGCGGAGGGGAGCGAGGAGGCGUCGGUGGACGUGUUCAAGAAGCUGGAGAAGCGCAAGGUGCUGAGCAGCGUGGAGAAGGCGGGGCUGCUGUCCAAGGCGGAGGAGCUCGGCGUCACGCUCUCCUCGCUGGAGAAGCUCGGACUGCUCUCCAAGGCCGAGGACCUGGGACUCCUCAGCCUCGUCGAGAGCGCAGCCACGGUGUCCCCGGCCGUGCUCGCAUCGCUGUCGCUGCCGCUGCUCGUCGCCUCCAUCGCCACGGUCGUCUUCGUGCCGGACGACUCCACCCUGCUGGUGACUGUCCAGACGGUCGUCGCUACGUUGUUCGCGGCCGUCGCUGCCGGGCUGUUCGUCGGCUCCGUCGUGCUCGACGGACUGCAGGACGAUUAG
rnacentral:rRNA from 1 species